GAGGGUGGUCUUCUGGGACAACAAGAAUUGCUAACUCUUAAUUUUAUGGUUAAACUCCAUAACUCUCCUC
rnacentral:tRNA from 1 species